rnacentral:rRNA from 1 species
UACGUAUGGUGCAAGCGUUAUCCGGAUUUACUGGGUGUAAAGGGAGCGUAGGCGGCGCGUUAAGUCUGAUGUGAAAACCCGAGGCUCAACCAUUGUAUGCAUUGGAAACUGGUAGACUUGAGUGCAGGAGAGGAGAGUGGAAUUCCAUGUGUAGCGGUGAAAUGCGUAGAUAUAUGGAGGAACACCGGUGGCGAAAGCGGCUCUCUGGCCUGUAACUGACACUGAGGCUCGAAAGCGUGGGUAUCAAACAGG